rnacentral:rRNA from 1 species
AUUGAACGCUGGCGGCAGGCCUAACACAUGCAAGUCGAGCGGAUGAAGGGAGCUUGCUCCUGGAUUCAGCGGCGGACGGGUGAGUAAUGCCUAGGAAUCUGCCUGGUAGUGGGGGAUAACGUCCGGAAACGGGCGCUAAUGCCGCAUACGUCCUGAGGGAGAAAGUGGGGGAUCUUCGGACCUCACGCUAUCAGAUGAGCCUAGGUCGGAUUAGCUAGUUGGUGGGGUAAAGGCCUACCAAGGCGACGAUCCGUAACUGGUCUGAGAGGAUGAUCAGUCACACUGUAACUGAGACACGGUCCAGACUCCUACGGGAGGCAGCAGUGGGGAAUAUUGGACAAUGGGCGAAAGCCUGAUCCAGCCAUGCCGCGUGUGUGAAGAAGGUCUUCGGAUUGUAAAGCACUUUAAGUUGGGAGGAAGGGCAGUAAGUUAAUACCUUGCUGUUUUGACGUUACCAACAGAAUAAGCACCGGCUAACUUCGUG